CAAGUCGAGCGGUAGCACAGGGAGCUUGCUCCUGGGUGACGAGCGGCGGACGGGUGAGUAAUGUCUGGGAAACUGCCUGAUGGAGGGGGAUAACUACUGGAAACGGUAGCUAAUACCGCAUAACGUCUACGGACCAAAGUGGGGGACCUUCGGGCCUCAUGCCAUCAGAUGUGCCCAGAUGGGAUUAGCUAGUAGGUGGGGUAAUGGCUCACCUAGGCGACGAUCCCUAGCUGGUCUGAGAGGAUGACCAGCCACACUGGAACUGAGACACGGUCCAGACUCCUACGGGAGGCAGCAGUGGGGAAUAUUGCACAAUGGGCGCAAGCCUGAUGCAGCCAUGCCGCGUGUGUGAAGAAGGCCUUCGGGUUGUAAAGCACUUUCAGCGAGGAGGAAGGGUAGUGUGUUAAUAGCACAUUGCAUUGACGUUACUCGCAGAAGAAGCACCGGCUAACUCCGUGCCAGCAGCCGCGGUAAUACGGAGGGUGCAAGCGUUAAUCGGAAUUACUGGGCGUAAAGCGCACGCAGGCGGUUUGUUAAGUCAGAUGUGAAAUCCCCGCGCUUAACGUGGGAACUGCAUUUGAAACUGGC
rnacentral:rRNA from 1 species